UACGGAGGGUGCAAGCGUUGUUCGGAAUCACUGGGCGAAAGGGCGUGUAGGCGGUCCGCUAAGUCUGAUGUGAAAGCCCGGGGCUCACCCCCGGAAGGGGCAUUGGAAACUGGCGGCUCGAGUCCCGGAGAGGAAGGUGGAAUUCCUGGUGUAGCGGUGAAAUGCGUAGAUAUUGGGGAGGAACACCAGUGGCGAAGGCGGCUCACUGGCCCGAUACUGACGCUGAGGCACGAAAAGCGUGGGGGA
rnacentral:rRNA from 1 species